UACGUAGGGGGCAAGCGUUGUCCGGAAUCAUUGGGCGUAAAGAGCGCGUAGGCGGUCCGGUAAGUCCGCUCUGAAAGUCCGGGGCUCAACCCCGGGAGGCGGGCGGAUACUGUCGGGCUAGAGUCCGGAAGAGGAGAGUGGAAUUCCUGGUGUAGCGGUGAAAUGCGCAGAUAUCAGGAAGAACACCCGUGGCGAAGGCGGCUCUCUGGGACGGUACUGACGCUGAGACGCGAAAGCGUGGGGAGCGAACAGG
rnacentral:rRNA from 1 species